AUUGAACGCUGGCUGCAGGCCUAACACAUGCAAGUCGAGCGGUAGCACAGAGAGCUUGCUCUCGGGUGACGAGCGGCGGACGGGUGAGUAAUGUCUGGGAAACUGCCUGAUGGAGGGGGAUAACUACUGGAAACGGUAGCUAAUACCGCAUAACGUCGCAAGACCAAAGUGGGGGACCUUCGGGCCUCAUGCCAUCAGAUGUGCCCAGAUGGGAUUAGCUAGUAGGUGGGGUAACGGCUCACCUAGGCGACGAUCCCUAGCUGGUCUGAGAGGAUGACCAGCCACACUGGAACUGAGACACGGUCCAGACUCCUACGGGAGGCAGCAGUGGGGAAUAUUGCACAAUGGGCGCAAGCCUGAUGCAGCCAUGCCGCGUGUGUGAAGAAGGCCUUCGGGUUGUAAAGCACUUUCAGCGGGGAGGAAGGCGGUGAGGUUAAUAACCUCAUCGAUUGACGUUACCCGCAGAAGAAGCACCGGCUAACUCCGUGCCAGCAGCCGCGGUAAUACGGAGGGUGCAAGCGUUAAUCGGAAUUACUGGGCGUAAAGCGCACGCAGGCGGUCUGUCAAGUCGGAUGUGAAAUCCCCGGGCUCAACCUGGGAACUGCAUUCGAAACUGGCAGGCUAGAGUCUUGUAGAGGGGGGUAGAAUUCCAGGUGUAGCGGUGAAAUGCGUAGAGAUCUGGAGGAAUACCGGUGGCGAAGGCGGCCCCCUGGACAAAGACUGACGCUCAGGUACGAAAGCGUGGGGAGCAAACAGGAUUAGAUACCCUGGUAGUCCACGCCGUAAACGAUGUCGAUUUGGAGGUUGUGCCCUUGAGGCGUGGCUUCCGGAGCUAGCGCGUUAAAUCGACCGCCUGGGGAGUACGGCCGCAAGGUUAAAACUCAAAUGAAUUGACGGGGGCCCGCACAAGCGGUGGAGCAUGUGGUUUAAUUCGAUGCAACGCGAAGAACCUUACCUGGUCUUGACAUCCACAGAACUUUCCAGAGAUGGACUGGUGCCUUCGGGAACUGUGAGACAGGUGCUGCAUGGCUGUCGUCAGCUCGUGUUGUGAAAUGUUGGGUUAAGUCCCGCAACGAGCGCAACCCUUAUCCUUUGUUACCAGCGGUCCGGCCGGGAACUCAAAGGAGACUGCCAGUGAUAAACUGGAGGAAGGUGGGGAUGACGUCAAGUCAUCAUGGCCCUUACGACCAGGGCUACACACGUGCUACAAUGGCAUAUACAAAGAGAAGCGACCUCGCGAGAGCAAGCGGACCUCAUAAAGUAUGUCGUAGUCCGGAUUGGAGUCUGCAACUCGACUCCAUGAAGUCGGAAUCGCUAGUAAUCGUAGAUCAGAAUGCUACGGUGAAUACGUUCCCGGGCCU
rnacentral:rRNA from 1 species